rnacentral:rRNA from 1 species
CUACGGGUGGCUGCAGUGGGGAAUUUUGGACAAUGGGGGCAACCCUGAUCCAGCCAUUCCGCGUGAGUGAAGAAGGCCUUCGGGUUGUAAAGCUCUUUCGGCAGGAACGAAACGGCUCUCUCUAACAUAGGGGGUCAAUGACGGUACCUGAAAAAGAAGCACCGGCUAACUACGUGCCAGCAGCCGCGGUAAUACGUAGGGUGCGAGCGUUAAUCGGAAUUACUGGGCGUAAAGCGUGCGCAGGCGGUUCUAUAAGACAGAUGUGAAAUCCCCGGGCUUAACCUGGGAACUGCGUUUGUGACUGUAGGACUGGAGUGUGGCAGAGGGGGGUGGAAUUCCACGUGUAGCAGUGAAAUGCGUAGAGAUGUGGAGGAACACCGAUGGCGAAGGCAGCCCCCUGGGUUAACACUGACGCUCAUGCACGAAAGCGUGGGGAGCAAACAGGAUUAGAUACCCUGGUAGUC